rnacentral:lncRNA from 1 species
AAACCUAGAGUGGGCAUGACGUAAUGCGCAACGCAAAUGACGGUGGCAAAGUGACACAUUUAAGGACACGCGACGCAAUGGCCCCUCGAGACGUGACAAGUUGAGUCGCCUGUCCGAUGUGAACGCACCUUAAGAGAUUUAUUUGUCUUUGAUAUCCAUUUCAGAAUUUUACACAAUGACGUGCAGAGGAAGUACAACCUCCUGGGUGGAGGACGCCAGGGGAAAAAAAGCUUAAAGGAAACUGCUUUCUUCACAGUUGUUCUUGGUAAAUGAAUUAUAUCUCUGCAAGUUAUUACUUACUCUUGGUCAUGUUACUGUUUUAAAGCCUGAAGCUGUAAAAAAGUGAAGAAUCCUUCCAGACAAUACUAGAUAAUUUCUACACUAACUAUGAUUCACGUUUCUUUUGUUUUUUUUUCUUUUCGCAGAGUCUGUUCGCACUAACUUCCCGACAGCAACAGAGGAACUGGUCGCAGCAUCGAUUGGGGACCAUUUGAAACAGGCACCAGCUCGAUGUGGUGGGAGGGGCACCACCAGAACACCACCCUGCUAAUUUUAAAAAAUAUAUAUAUCAGCGGAUUUAGACCAGAUGUCUAAUAAACGUUUAAUCAACGUCUAUGUCUAUACCUGGGUUUAUAAUUGGUAGAAGCAUGAACGUCUAACAUAAAGACGUUUAAAUGAAAACGUCUAUUUGAUGUCAUUUCAACAUUAUAGACGGAACAAUUUAUGAACAAACAUGUUUAAACGUAUAAAUCAAAACGUUUAAACAACAUUUAAAUUUCGACGCUGAAAAAACGUUCAUUUCUAUACCUCUGUUAUACCAAAUUUAGACUAGACGUAUAUUACACGUAUAAUCAACCUCAAAAUGCUCGCUGGGUCCGUUCAUUCAGAACGCCGUUAAUUCUGCAGUUGACUCUGCAAAGUCAGCAGAAAUUGUUUAUAUCCACAGAAGACGGCGGAUAUAAACGAUUUGUUGCCCUGUUGUCCGGGUAACAGUGGAAACACGGUCUCUGAUUGGCCCGGUUAUUUUCUGAUCGGGAAUACACGCUCUCUAUGGUCCGAAGUCC